rnacentral:rRNA from 1 species
AUGUGAUCGUCUCUCGCAUAUCAAUAAGCGGAGGAAAAGAAACUAACAAGGAUUCCCCUAGUAACGGCGAGUGAAGCGGGAAGAGCUCAAAUUUGAAAUCUUAAAGGGUUUCCCUUUACGAAUUGUAGUUUAAAGAAGUGUUUUCUGUUGAGGUUUUGGUAAAAGUUCUUUGGAAUAGGACAUCAUAGAGGGUGAGAAUCCCGUAUUUGACCUUUACUUUCAACUUUGUGAUACACUUUCAAAGAGUCGGAUUGUUUGGGAAUGCAGUCCAAAAUGGGUGGUAAAUUUCAUCUAAAGCUAAAUAUUGGCGAGAGACCGAUAGCGAACAAGUACCGUGAGGGAAAGAUGAAAAGAACUUUGAAAAGAGAGUUAAACAGUACGUGGAAUUGUCAAAAGGGAAGCGUUUGACACCAGUGUUGUUUUUCUGAAAAUCAAUUAAAGAACUGUUUAUGCUAAGCUGUUUAGACUUUAUCAGCUAACUGUUUAGUUUUGAGCUUUUCUUUAAUGCACUUUUCAGUUAACAAGUCAACAUCAAUUUCUUUUGCCGUAAAAAAGCUUGAGGAAGGUGGCUUGAGAUUUCGUCUUAAGUGUUUAUAGCCUCUUGCCUAUGCAGUCGGAGAGAUUGAGGUCUGCAGCGUAGAUCCUUCGGGGCUAAAUGCAUUUGUGCUAAGUUAUAACAUUUUAUAGACAACUUGUUGACUAUGAUUUGUCUUGUAGCUUACUCGCUUAUGUUAUUUUACCUACGCUUAGGAUGUUGAGUAGCGACAUACGCAC